CCUUGUACACACCGCCCGUCACACCAUGGAAGUUGGUUCUACCCGAAGGUAGUGCGCUAACCGCAAGGAGGCAGCUAACCACGGUAGGGUCAGCGACUGGGGUG
rnacentral:rRNA from 1 species